rnacentral:rRNA from 1 species
AGAGUUUGAUCCUGGCUCAGGACGAACGCUGGCGGCGUGCUUAACACAUGCAAGUCGUACGAGACGAUUGAAAGCUUGCUUUUGAAAGUCGAGUGGCAAACGGGUGAGUAACGCGUAGACAACCUGCCGUAAAGAUGGGGACAACAGUCCGAAAGGACUGCUAAUACCGAAUGUUGUGGAACUUCCGCAUGGGGGCUCCACUAAAGAUGGCCUCUACUUGUAAGCUAUCGCUUUACGAUGGGUCUGCGUCUGAUUAGCUAGUUGGUGGGGUAACGGCUUACCAAGGCGACGAUCAGUAGCCGGUCUGAGAGGAUGAACGGCCACAUUGGAACUGAGACACGGUCCAGACUCCUACGGGAGGCAGCAGUGGGGAAUCUUCCGCAAUGGGCGCAAGCCUGACGGAGCAACGCCGCGUGAGUGAAGAAGGGUUUCGACUCGUAAAGCUCUGUUGUCGGGGACGAAUGUGGAGAUGGUGAAUAACCAUUUUCAAUGACGGUACCUGACGAGGAAGCCACGGCUAACUACGUGCCAGCAGCCGCGGUAAUACGUNGNGNGAGCGUGUCCGAAUUAUUGGGCGUAAAGGGAGCGCNGNNGGNAGGUCAGU